rnacentral:rRNA from 1 species
CACGUAGGAUGCGAGCGUUGUCCGGAAUUAUUGGGCGUAAAGAGCUCGUAGGCGGCUUGUUGCGUCGACCGUGAAAACCCGUGGCUCAACUGCGGGCUUGCGGUCGAUACGGGCGGGCUAGAGUUCGGUAGGGGAGACUGGAAUUCCUGGUGUAGCGGUGAAAUGCGCAGAUAUCAGGAGGAACACCGGUGGCGAAGGCGGGUCUCUGGGCCGAUACUGACGCUGAGGAGCGAAAGCGUGGGGAGCGAACAGG